AUGCCCUGUUUCCUACUAGUGCUAGUCAGUGAUGGGGGCAUUACUCAUCUCCAAUAUGCAGAUGACACCAUCCUCAUGGUAGAGGGCUCGAACGCUGACAUCCAGAAUCUGAAGUUCUUACUCCUAUGUUUUCAAGAGAUGUCAGGACUAACAAUAAACUUUGCCAAAAGCGAAGUAAUGGUGCUAGGCUACUCAGGGGAGGAUUUCCGGCACAUAGCCAAUAUGCUUAAUUGCCGACUAGGAUCGUUCCCGACCUCCUACCUUGUCCUCCCGAUUAAUGACUCCCGCCUCCAGGCGAAAGAUCUUCGCCCCACGGUGACCAAGCUUCAGCACCGGGUCGAACCUUGGCAAGGGCGGUGGCUAUCCAAGGCGCCCCAGGUUGUGCUGAUGAACUCUGCCUUGGUUAGCAUGCUUAUGUUCUUAAUGGGAUUCUAUAGUUUGCAUGAAUCCCUUCAUCAGGAAGUCGCCAAAUAUUUGUCUAGGUUUUUCUAG
rnacentral:rRNA from 1 species